ACAAGGCCCCGCCCGCCGACCCGGAACGUAAACACCGGCGCAGGUCCAGGUUGCGGGACCUGGUGUGAAGAGCGGUGCAGAGGCGACGCGGGCUGGGGACUCUGGGUGGACCCGACACCCCGCGAAGAGGUGUCACUGUCCCCAAGUCCCCAAGACGCCUCCCCUGCCCUCCUGAGGUUCCCACUCCUGUCGGGGCAACAGAUAGAGAAGAAAGCCACGAGUGGUGGGCGACUUUGUCCCAGAGAGGGAUACGAGCAGGAAAGGAAAUAAAAAGAGAGUAACGGGACAAAGCGUGAUCACAGGCAGAUGGGCAAUCCCGGAGGGCCUCUCUAAGGAGACGACUUUUGAGCUCAGACCUGGGUGAUGAGACGAAACCAGCCUGGGAAGAUCCCCAGGGACAGCGUUCCAUAAGGAGGUGCAAUUGCCAGGCCCCUGCCUGGAGGAGUUGACCGGAGCGAGGGGAUGAGUGAGAAAACAGGCCUGGUGCGGUGGCUCACGCCUGUAAUCCCAACACUUUGGCAGGCCGAGGCGGGAGGAUCACCUGAGUCCAGGAGUUCGAGAGGUAAGUCAAGCGUUUAGAGGACUCUAGUGAGAAGAAUGUCAUGUCAGCAUGUUCAAGGUGAUGAGCAUCAGCUAGGAUGAUCAAGGUUGUUUGCAACAACCUCAGUGGAGAGUGGAUAGUGUGGAGAAGGUCAAUGUUAGCCAUGCCCAGGAGACCUGAUCCUGAUUAUGCAGAAACAGAAACAUUAACCUAAACUUGACAGAGUGUGUGAUCGUGAGAGUCUUACCAGUACACAUCGGGACUCAAAGCAAUAAAACUCACCAUCAUGCCCAUUAUGUUGAUUCUCUGAAUAAGCAGUCCAUAGAGACAGAAGAGUUCACACCAAUGAAUAAUCGUUCAAGCGAUAUUACUUACUUGCAUUGCAAUAACGCUGACAUGUUAGAGGAGGAGUACUAGAACAUCGAAGUUGACAAGGUUUGCAAUCAUGCAACAAACUGUCAAAAUAUUCAUUUUGGGAGCACUGCCGAGCCAUCUGCAACAUGAUCACGAAAAGAAAACAAGGGAGCUACAGAAAAAACAGCCUGGAAGGACAAGUAAUAUCUCCACAAGAAUUCCGGAGCAAAUGCAGCAAGAGCAGCUAGAAUGUCAAGAACUAUGAACUUGGCCUGCUUCGUGGGUUCUUACGGGGCCGUCUGUUUCUUUGCGGCAGCUAAGGAUUUGAAUACCACAUCUAAUACAAGUUUCUAAGUUUGAGUCGUGGACGGGGGCUUGAGCCUAGGAAAGAUCUUGAACUUAGAUACUGAUCAAAACCUCACAUUCCUCUGGGGUCCAGGCAGUGAGGGCUCUUGGGAGAUGCUGUGUGCUGUGCUGCGUGUUUUGCAACGAGCUGAUCUUCUCAUCAAUCCGGUAAGGGCUUGAGCAAUUCACUUUCCCUCCCUGAGUCUUGGUGACCUGUGCUGUGAAAUAGAGAGAGACACCUACCACCUGCUGUCAGAGCCCAUCAAGUUACAGGUGCCAAUAAAUCCUCUGUAUUGCCUAAACCAACUUGAGCUGGAUUUUGUGUUACUUGCAUUUCACUGAGCAUCAUGGAGUGACGCAAUCUUCCUUAUUAAUUCUGGGGCAAAGACUGAGCAUCUGAGAAUCAACUUUGCAUGCUUGCUGUGGUGAAGACAAAUAACUCAGUUUGAAUAGGACAAAGAACUUGAUACAAGGAGGCAACUACGGCAGAGAAAUCAAGGAAUAAGAAAAGAGGAUGAUGGCUGGGUGCAGUGGCUCAUGCCUGUAAUCCCAGCACUUUGGGAGGCCAAGGUGGGAGAAUCAUUUGAGUCCAGGAGUCGGAAGUUGCUGUGAACUAUGAUCAUGCUCCUGCACUCUAGCCUGGGCCACAGAACAAUACCCCUUCUCUACAAACAUAAAAGAGACCGGUGUGGUGGCUCAUACCUGUCAUCCCAGCACUUUGGGAGACCGAGGCGGGCGGAUCACCUGAA